UAUGGAAGUGCACUAAACUGCAGUUUCUGGAAUGGCCACUUGAGGCUCGCUCCAAAAGGGAGUCAAUUUUUGUAGAAUGCACAGCUUUACAGCAGAAAUAAACAUCUUUAUGACUUUGAUCAGUAUAGCAGUAUUUCACCACUCUUCAUGCCGCAUCUCUGGCAUGCACAUUUUUAGAAACACUCAUUGAUAUUAAGGCUUAAAGUUAGGGUUGUGCCUGUUUCGAGUGACAGGUGAGCGUUAUUUUAUCUGGUUUAGGCUGGAGUGCACUAAAGGUCCCUCCAAGAAGUCAGCUGUUGAGUUUUUCUGGUGUGUAUUUAGUGCAUUAGAAAUGCACCUUUCUAAUUAAGCAAGGUAUCUUAGGAAACUCCUUUGCUCUGAUAGGGCGGUAUCUGAUCUGGGCCUAUCAUAAGUGUAGUACAGGUGUAGUUACAAUAAAGUUAUGACGUUUUUGAUAUGUUACUUAAAGACAUUACAGGUUGUUUGCAUUCUGUUAAAAAUGCAAACACAUUUGAGAGGACAGAAUAUUAAAACUGACACACUAAUAAACAGUGGCUGUCCGGACAAGUGUCAGGUUCCACAGUUAUAGGAUGGGACCUUGGCCCUUCUAUAUAUGGAGGGAUAAACUAGGCUAAAACUAGAGAUAAACGUUGCAGGGUCCCGUCACCAUCAAGUAGCCUUCGGGCAUCAACCUGCUGGAUGAGUCGCGGAGCCCGAGCCUAGCCUGGUUGCACAAAUUGGAAAUCCGCCCUUCCAGCUCAGUCUGCAGCCUACAGGGGUGCACAGCCAGCCCCCCUAUAGCCCAGCUACGAGGCUAAACUCUUAACCAUCCCGAUUACUGCGUUAACUCGCUGAACCCGGUAGAAAGUACAAGUAACACUACGUAAGCAGAAUGGGUCAAUAAAGACGCGGCACUGAAAAAAAGCCUAUAAACCGAGCCAAAUACGCCUCAUACCGGAGUCUUACGCCAACUUUGUUUCAUGUAUUAUGUAUACAAUGAAACUUUCGCCAGACAUACCAACAAUUCACGAACAACAUUUUCCGCGUUUCAUAAGUAAACGUGCCGUUGUCAGUAUUUUCGCUACGGGACGGUUUCCUGGUUUCAGCAGACCAACCCCGGCUGUCCCCGUAACCCUAUAGCGGCGCGGAGUGCACAGCUGCCCGGCUUGCAUCGUUAGGAGACUCCGCAGAGCAACCAUGUUUCUUCGCACCGGCCACGGUUGUCAAAACCCACAGCACUCGGUCCACAACCCGCUAGAACCUCACAAAGCCCCCUUUCCUCUUUCAGAAGGAACACCGAAGGAAGAAUGGGAGGAAAGCACAACUACUGGUGCUCAGCUUCUGCCAAGCUGACUCUACAACACUUAAACCUCCUUUAGAGUGCUUAGAUUUCCAGAAAGGUUGCACAAUUACAAAAUCCUAAUCAUCACUUCCUUAGGGGCCCACAAAGUAGAAAGUUUACACCAUGUCAUUACAGGCGUGCUAAUGUUCUUUAAUUUUGGAUUGUUAUAGCUUAGAUUUAAUUCCAGUUCUCAUUCAAGGGUGGAAAAAAACAAACAAACAAACAAACAAAAACCCUUCGUUUUUAAAGUUAAUCAAUCAAUCACAGCUUCUGGGCAUUUGCCCUCUGCAAGUAAGCGCAAUGUAUUUUGUUUGCCACAACCGUUUCAAGCCCAAAACCUAAAGAUAAUAAGACUACAAUAAAUGUUAACAAUAGUGCUAUAACUCUUCUCACUUUAGAUGCAGAUGCAUUUACAGUUUUUACAUUGUAUUUACUAAUGUUUUCUCCAAGCUGUUGGUUACGUCAUGCCUUUCAUUCAUAUUAUUAAUGAUCCUGUAAUUCUAUACCACUUUUUAGGUAUACACACUGGUGAAAAUUUCCAGGUAUCUGUCUUUUAGGAGUUCAUUUGGUUAGCAUUCUUCAGGUUUGCUUGCCAUGACACUGUAAUAUUAAUAUAUAUAUAUAACAGUGUAAUGUAAUGCAUAUCCCUUCCUGCAACACGUAAUGUUGAAAAUACACUUUCCUAUGUAUUAAUAUUCCUCAGAGUAAGAAAUUAUUUCAAAAUAUUUCCCCUUUGGCAUUUUACUAGACUCUUCCAAGAAAGAAUUGAGCUUUUUACCAUCUAUCAUUGUUUGCUUUCUCUGAACUUUCCACCCGAUCCUCAUCUUGUGUCUUGGCUUUUGGCUGGGACCAAGUUUUUAUUACUCUCUGCCACUCACUUUUUAAAACUUUAAAAUCAGUUUUCCUGAAGAUAUGGAAAAAUAUGUCUAAAUAGGUCAAAAUGACAGAGGUGCUGUUACACCAAAAGUCUUAAAAGUGGAUGUUUUAAUUAACAUAAACACUGGUAGUUGAGUUUUAUGAUGAAUACAGAAUUCAUUCUGUUUUGCACUGAAAGCUACACACAAAACAUAGUGUAUUUAAUGUGUUUUACAUUUUAAAUGUAUCUGUAUUCAAUUUAUUUUAAUAAUAGAUCGCAAACCCAACUAAAAUACCAAAUAAAAGAGGGUGGUACAGUGGUGGUACAAGAAAUAAAAGCAGUGGGAUAAAAUCAGUAGGGGUUCUCAAAAAAAAAAAAAAUCUUAAAAAGAGAUGUAAAAGAUGUCACUGGCCCCAUUUCCUGAGGCAGUUUAUUCCAUAGCUCCAGGGCUCUGGCAGGAAAUUCUCUGUUACUUUUAGGUUUUAGGCUCUAGCCUCAGGACUCAGCCUUUGUAUAGGCUCAGGUACUGUAUAUAGCAGAAGAGAGGCCAUGAAAAGCCUUUAAAGUCAACUCUAAUCUGUGGUCACUUAAUGGAUUUUUCAUCAAGGCAGGUGAAGCUGGAUGUAUCAACAAUCUAACCUCAGGUAGAGGGAGACAUGGAAAAUGCUGCCACCAUCUUUUAGAGACCUUAUUAGGUGAUCAGAACAAACUGAGGCUACUAUUGAGUGAGUACAGAUAGUCAGGAUAAGCUUUACUAUUGUUCCCAUAAUACUAAUGGAAAAUUGGUUGAGUUCUUUUCUUACUCUUCUUCUCUCCCCAUUCAGCUAAACUCCUCAAUAUAAAUGAGCACUGGUGAAAAAAAGGCCUUUGAAAGGUGCAGGUACUGCACUUGAACAUUUGCUGCCAUUAGAUAUGAGUCAGUACAUCUCACCGGAAGACGCGUUUUCAUGUUAAUUCAGUCAGGUUUGAAAAUGUAAAAUCUCUGACUGUGACUGCUCUAUUGCCCUUUAAGAGUUGGAAAUGUCUAUGUAAAAAGAAGCACAUUUGAGAAGUAUUUUCUCUUUAUUAGAGAGGCAAAGUCUUGUGGGACAAUGAGAAAGUAUUAGUGCUAGAAGAUGUCAUACUGUAACUACACAGCUCUGAGUAAGGCGUGCAUAUUAAAACACUCACUUUGCAUAAUUUUCCUGCAGAAAAAGAAUAAAAGAAGAAGCCAUUUGA